rfam:Gossypium arboreum cultivar AKA8401 contig_584_9, whole genome shotgun sequence.
UGUUAAAAUUUUGAUCCCUUUGUACUAUUAAAAACUGGUGUCAUUGACAAAAUAAUCAGAUAGCGACAUGUAGUGUGCCACGUAUAUAUCAUGUUGACGUACAUGAAUUAGUUUUUAACAGUAAAAAUAGAUAAAAUUUUUAAUA